GAGCCAUAAGACUUAUUAUCCUUAGUGAUGGGUUUCAUUUCUGGAACCAGCCCCCCAUUUGUGUUACGAAGUCUUACACUGGUACUAUUUUGGAAUGGAUCUGCUAAAAAUACUGUGCACAAGAGAAGAGAGAAACCUGGGGCCUGAGGGCUUUCUGAAACGGAACAAGCUGAGAGUGUGCUCCUCCUCUGGAGUUCUGGGUAUGUAGAAUAUUUUCCUUCUAAAGCUAUAUAUAUAUUUCCAGAGUAUGUUCAAAGUAUGCUUUCCAUCUCUAACCAGAAAGCUUUCUGCAGCGACAUUCUAAUUGUAAUUAUUUCACAGUUAGUAGUUGCAAUUUAAAAUAACAGGCUAAGGAAGAAAGACAACUGUAAUGUGAUAAUUCUCAUUACAGGGUCAUUAACCUUUGAUUUUGACAUUGCUUUUGAAAAAAUAAAUAUUACUUUGUCUUUUCA
rnacentral:lncRNA from 1 species